AAAGUGGAAAGCUAUAAAAAAUAAAUAAAUAAAAUUUGAAGACAAAAGAAAACCGAGGACCAUUAACCAUAACACUAGAAUACAUAACUUUUGUGGUCCACAACUCUGAAGAAUAAAAACUAAACAAAAAGGUCUAGUACCAUAGUACACCACCCUUUUGAGCAAUUUGUAGAAAAAGAAAAAAAAUAACAAUAUACUCAGACCCAAAAAAAAAAAAACUUAGAAAUUAAACUUCAUUUAUAAACCUAUCAAAUAAUAAUAAUAAUAAUAAUCCCGCUAAAAUAGUACAGAAAAUAAUAUUCCACUAAAAUAAUACAGACUUUAUUUUUUAAGGCAAAAAUAAAAUUAAGAAAAAUAAAAUGUUUUACAAAGCGGGAAAAGUACAAAAACGCAUUUUGUUUAAAGCAAAAUUUCCCGCCUAUAUCUGUUUCUUCUACUGUGGCUUCACAGACUCUCUCUCUCUCUUUCUCCCCCUCUCUAUUGCUCGUUUGCUCUCCGAAUCAAACAAACGCUCUUUCAGAUUUCAAGAAGAUUCGGAGCUCAAAUUACGAUGAACUACUAUCGCCAAAGGUGAGCUAUAAAGUGAUUACAAGUUUUACCUCACUUGGGUGAACAGAGCGUUACCGAGCUCGGAUGGCCUAUGUCUUGGGACGUUUAGCUCUCAUUUGUGGAGAUUUUUGUGCAAAAGUUUAUUGGGCAAAUGUUUUGAGGUAAAUAUUCGUCACAAAUCGACAUGCAUGAUGCAUUCCAAUGUCUAUGAAAUGUUAGGGCCUAUUUUUAUUUUUUUUUCCCCCUUUUUUCAUUUUUAUUUUUUUAUGUUUUAGUAUUUAAGGCCCGUUUGUCAUCGUUUCUGGGUGGGCUUCGAUUUUGAAUUUUAAACAUUCGCCUUACUUUUUUCUUUUCUGAAGCCAUGAUUUUUUUUAAUUUAAAUAUGAAGAAAACACAUAAAUUUAAGACUUAUAUUUAUAGGGUCAGUGAUGUUUUAUCCGGUGGGUUGAUUCGCAAUUGUUGUUUGGAUUUAAAUCUAAAAUCUUAAAGGGAUAUGAUAUUCUUUUAACACUGCCAUAUAAAGUAUAUAAUUCUUGUAUAUUUUUCUGUCCUCAAUAGGCUUAAAUAUUCUAUUAUCAUUUGAGAAUUCUUUUACAUUUAUAUCUUCAAAAUGUUCAAGAAGUCCGAAAUAUUUAAGCCUAUUGAGAACAAAAAUACAAAGACAACCAUAUAGAUGUUCAAUACUUAGAAAGCAUAAUUAGCAUUGCUCUUCUGAUUACAUGAAUUAAUAUGUUGUUUCCGUAAUCCUAGAUAUUAACCUCGAGGUCACUAUCCAUGCAGAGACAUCCCAAACUAUUGGUUUUUUCAGGUAAUUCAUUCGAGUUUAAAUCUCUAUAACUCAAAUAUCAAUAGAAACUUAGGUGAGAUGUGCAUUUUCCAUGAGGUUUUCCUUUUGUUCCAAAAACACUUUGGUUCAAUCAAUGGCAUGUCUAGCUGACACAUUAAAAAAAAAAAAAAAAAGUUGUUGCUGAUAAAUCAUGUUAUGCUUAGAUAAAACUGCUGAUGAUUAUACUUGGAACACUUUAAUUUUACUAGUGCAGUUUAGUCAUGUUUCAUUUGUGUCCCUUAGGAUCUAAAACAAGCCUAGGGCAUUUCAAACAAACUCUAGCAAUUUGAGUUCGAGUAUAAAAGCCAAAUUCAAGCCUUCCUCCCCAUAUGUGGACUGUGAUACGAGCUACACAAAUCUUCUACUAUUGAAAUAUCAUUUCAAUCUUAUUGAAAAAGCAUUAUAAGAGCAUUUCCAAUGAAAUGCCAAUGGAAUGUCAAUUGGUUCGGUUUAUUUAAAAAAAUUUAUACCACAUCAAAAUGAUAGAUAGUCUUUUUAAAAAAUUUUCUCCAGCAGUGUUGUGUGAAAAAAAAAAAAAAAUAGUUGUCUAUCAAAUAUUUUCUCUAUUUGUAGAAGAUUUAUUAAAAUGAGUCAUACAUAAUAAAUUAGCCUUCUCUCUCCUCUCUUCUUUCUCAAUAUUUCAAUUUAUUUCAUUUAAAAUUUUAAAUAUGAUUUAUUGGAUAAAAAAUUUAAAUAGAUAUUAUUAUUGAUAAACAUUAUAUCAUCUAAGCUAAAGUGUUUUUUAAAUUUUUUGUCAGAUAAGUGCCAAUGCGAAACCAUUAAAGAUACUUUUUAAGAGUUAAGAUAAAAUAAUCACUCACGAGUAGGGCAGGAUUCAUUAAAACGGCUUAUUAAUUCAUGGGUCUACCUAAUUAAUAACUUUCUUUCCUUUCGUGUAUUACAAGCUCCUUAUAAGCGAAGAAGGUAAGUCCCUUAUUUAGGGGAAGCUUCAUUUUAAGUCUUCGUCCGUUCCGCGUUCUAAGUAAUCAAAAUUUGUUAAGUAAAUUUGAACACCUGUCACCAACCCAAAAAAAAACACAAAAAUAAAAGAACAAAAAAGCUUUACCCAGGGAUACGGGAAAUGUAGAAACAUGAGGGUGAGGACCAAUUGGAAGAAAGAUUUUACUUCUAAACAAAUAUACUCUUGAGGGUGAGGACCAAUUGGAAGAAAGAUUUUACUUCUAAAGAAAUAUACUCAUCGUGCCCUGCACGAAUUUUAUUUGUUGCAUUUAUUCAAAAAUCUCAUCUUUAACCAAAUUAUCUCGAUUUCUCCAUUUGAGUGAUUGAUAGGGUUGUAGAUAACUUUCAUUUUGCUUUUAGCAUAGACAACGGUAUAUUGUAAUUGUUGACUAAUUCGUGCCGAGUAUAAUUCGAGAAUCAUAAAAAUCAGCCUCUGCCACCGAGGUCACUUUCAGCUUCCACCGAAAAUAAAAGGAUUGAGACAGGGCACCUCCUAUUAUAAUAAAUUACUUCUUAUUUUUAAUAACAGAUAACUCUUCUUUUUGACAAAUUCAAGAAACUGCCGAUGCCAGUAUGACGCAAGUAUCUGUCGGUAACGUUAAAACUUUCAUCUACGAAACAAGUGCACAAACUCAACUUUGACGCAUCAUCAAAAGCUUAUUCUUGCAAUUUUUUUUUUUGGGUAUCCAAACCGAAUUAUUCCAAAUCCAUCCACAACAUAUUCAUGAAUUUUAUGAUUAUCCAAUAAAACGAAUUCACAUCCAUUUAAUUUUCCAACCCUUGACCAGUUCAAUAAUUAAAAAAUAUUGUGAACCGAAAAAACAAAAAAAGACAGAUAUGCGAUAUAAGAACAACUUCACUUCAUUUCCCAAACGGUUUUUUUGUUAUGUAAACAAGGAACAUAGAACCACGGAUCAAAAUUACGAGCGAAAGCAGUGACAGAGUAACAGGAACCCGAUCGGUCAAAAUUAGAAACUGGAACGUUUUAACGAAAAACAAAUAUAGAAACAAACACACUCGGUCCACCCCACCAACUAAAUCCCCACUAAAACACCACCCCGCCUAACCCCCC